GGGCCCGCACAAGCGGUGGAGCAUGUGGUUUAAUUCGAUGAUACGCGAGGAACCUUACCAGGGCUUAAAUGUAGUCUGACAGCUUUAGAGAUAGCUAUUUCUUCGGACUACUUACAAGGUGCUGCAUGGUUGUCGUCAGCUCGUGCCGUGAGGUGUCAGGUUAAGUCCUAUAACGAGCGCAACCCCUGUUGUUAGUUGCCAUCGAGUCAUGUCGGGAACUCUAACAAGACUGCCGGUGCAAACCGUGAGGAAGGUGGGGAUGACGUCAAAUCAUCACGGCCCUUACGUCCUGGGCUACACACGUGCUACAAUGGCCGGUACAGAGAGCAGCCACUACGCGAGUAGGAGCGAAUCUUCAAAGCCGGUCUCAGUUCGGAUCGCAGUCUGCAACUCGACUGCGUG
rnacentral:rRNA from 1 species